rnacentral:lncRNA from 1 species
AAAAUAAUAAAUAUAUUUUUUUAUUAGAUAACAUAUAUAUAUAAAUGUAAUCGAUUGCAUACUUCUACGUAUGCGAACAAUAAAACACGUUUAUCGUCGACAGUUCUAUCUUGAUGCUUUUUUUGUUCAAUAUUUAAAGCCUUUACAAGUAAAUUUGUUAGAUUGUCAUAAGAUCCUUCAACAUAAUUACUGCAAUUAUCGUUUCUUCGUUAUUUCGUCGAAUGUAAAUUGCAUCAUCUUAUUACGAGGUCUGGAUAUUGUCGCGUAAAAGUUUCUUUCUACUCCGUUCGAGCGAACUGCUUUUGUUUUCGGAUGAUAAAGAGUUCUGGAAGUGCGUAAUACUCCACAGGUUCUAGAAGCGUAUAAUGUGCGUAUUUCUUUUAAUUCGCUAGUAAUAAUCGAAUUGUCGACCUAUAUUUUAAAACGUGUUAUUCUUAUCCAUAUCUCGUACUCAUUUUCUAAGUGAAAGCUUUCAAUUAAGAAGCGAUUUAAAGAGACCGAUCUCGUUUUCUAAAUUUAGAGGAUACAAAUGAAUUGGAAAUCUUUUCAAAGAAACUAUGUCAUUGUCGAUUGACGUUCUUAUUGCUCACGAAAGUACUUCUCGAAUUGAUCUGUUAAUUAAUCAAUUUAACUCUUCGAGAUAUCAAUUAAAAGUUAAUCUGAAUGUCACUUCCUAGGAAAUAGUACCAUUGUUAUUACAAUAAUAAUCCACAAUACACAUACUAUGCUCUCGCAUUUUAGUUGCUCCUAUCUAAUUCUGAACAGAAAGAGGUCAGUGUGUGCGUGAUCUCAAAAAAGAGGGAAGGUGCCGAGAAAAACGCUCCACGCAUUUACUCCUUUGUUUUGUCCUUGCUUUGUAACGGACUUGUCAUAGCAGGAAGUAUUCGCUAAUUAGUUGAUGUUAGAUAUUACGAGACCGGAUAUGUGAGCGAAGUGCACCGCCAUAGACAUCAUCUAUUGUACCAUACAAUAUUCACAAAGUAGUUUAGUCUUAUUUACAGAUUACCUGAAAAAUUGUUAUUGGUGCGACGUUUAGCCUAUUAAAAUUUAAAAUAUUUAAAAUGAGAAUUUAAAAACAGAAAAUUAAGAGAAAUCAUUCAGUUGCUUGAAAUAGUUUUUCAGGUCUCUCAAAAAGUUGAUUCGCGCCGAUACGUUUGUUUUUCCAAUGUGAGCAUAUGCGGAAUGAUUUUAAACGGGUCACUCAAUAUCUUGCUACCGAGGACGGACAAACGGACGGUUAGUUUUUUUAACCGUAUUGAUUUUACACAGACGGACUGUUUCUCUCUGUUUUUCUUUUUCGUCGGAUAUCGACUGUUGUCUGGACUAACCAAAAGCGUUCUUUCGUCCGCGGAAUUUUCUCAGCCACUCUACCCCUACAUUGUUUUUAUUUCUUUCUAUUGUGUACAUCUACCUGUGUUUGUCCUCUAAUGAAAACACAGUUACUAGCACGAAUGUGGAAUCAUAAAUACUUCGUUCAGGUAGUUGUAUGAAAUUAUAUAGACCUACUGAUUCUUACGAGUCAAAAGAUCUAAUCAGUUUUUGAACCGACCAAAUUUAAAGCGCAUGUUUUUUUUUCUUUUUAAAAAUCGAUUCUUAAAAGUUGCUAGACGUUGUUUUUACUUUAAU